UACGAAGGGGGCUAGCGUUGCUCGGAAUCACUGGGCGUAAAGCGCACGUAGGCGGAUUGCUAAGUCAGGGGUGAAAUCCUGGAGCUCAACUCCAGAACUGCCUUUGAUACUGGCGACCUUGAGUCCGGGAGAGGUGAGUGGAACUGCGAGUGUAGAGGUGAAAUUCGUAGAUAUUCGCAAGAACACCAGUGGCGAAGGCGGCUCACUGGCUCGGUAUUGACGCUGAGGCGCGAAAGCCAGGGGAGCAAACGGG
rnacentral:rRNA from 1 species